GUGCUCACUUCAGCAGCAUAUAUAUUAAGAAGAUUUGCAAGGCCCCUGUGCAAAGAUGACAUGCAAAUUCAUGAAGGGUUCCAUUAAAAA
rnacentral:snRNA from 1 species